rnacentral:rRNA from 1 species
GAUGAACGCUGGCGGCGUGCCUAAUACAUGCAAGUCGAGCGAACAGACGAGGAGCUUGCUCCUCUGACGUUAGCGGCGGACGGGUGAGUAACACGUGGAUAACCUACCUAUAAGACUGGGAUAACUUCGGGAAACCGGAGCUAAUACCGGAUAAUAUAUUGAACCGCAUGGUUCAAUAGUGAAAGACGGUUUUGCUGUCACUUAUAGAUGGAUCCGCGCCGCAUUAGCUAGUUGGUAAGGUAACGGCUUACCAAGGCAACGAUGCGUAGCCGACCUGAGAGGGUGAUCGGCCACACUGGAACUGAGACACGGUCCAGACUCCUACGGGAGGCAGCAGUAGGGAAUCUUCCGCAAAGGGCGAAAGCCUGACGGAGCAACGCCGCGUGAGUGAUGAAGGUCCUCGGAUCGUAAAACUCUGUUAUUAGGGAAGAACAAAUGUGUAAGUAACUAUGCACGUCUUGACGGUACCUAAUCAGAAAGCCACGGCUAACUACGUG